GACGAACGCUGGCGGCGUGCUUAACACAUGCAAGUCGAACGGAAAGGCCCUGCUUUUGUGGGGUGCUCGAGUGGCGAACGGGUGAGUAACACGUGAGUAACCUGCCCUUGACUUUGGGAUAACUUCAGGAAACUGGGGCUAAUACCGGAUAGGAGCUCCUGCUGCAUGGUGGGGGUUGGAAAGUUUCGGCGGUUGGGGAUGGUGUCGCGGCUUAUCAGCUUGUUGGUGGGGUAGUGGCUUACGAAGGCUUUGACGGGUAGCCGGCCUGGGAGGGUAACCGGGGUCAUUGGAGCUGAGAUACGGUCCAGACUCCUACGGGAGGGAGUAGUGGGGAAUAUUGCACGAUGAGUGGAGGCGUGAUACAGGAAGGCCGGGUGGGGGAUAACGGGCUUGGGGGUGUAAACCUCUUUAGCCUGUGACGACGGGGGAGUGACGGUAAUGGGUAAAGAAGCACCGGCGAACUACGUG
rnacentral:rRNA from 1 species